rnacentral:rRNA from 1 species
CGGUUGAUCCUGCCGGAGGCCACUGCUUUUGGGAUUCGAGUAUGCCAUGCGAGUCUAGAUGGUUGGCUCUCGGCUGACGUCUCGGUAACACGCAGAUAAUCUGGCCUUAGGUGGAGGAUAAACUCGGGAAUCUGAGUACAAUAAUCCAUAAGCAUAAGAUACUGGAAUGUACUUAUGCUGAAGUAUUCGUAGCCUAAGGAUGAGUCUGCGGACUAUCAGGUAGUAGUCAGGCUAAAGACCUGACUAGCCUACGACGGAUACGGGUUGUGAGAGCAAUAACCCGGAGAUGAUAUCUGAGACACGAUAUCAGGCCCUACGGGGCGCAGCAGGCGCGAAAACUUCACAAUGCGCGGAAGCGCGAUGAGGGAAUCCCAAGUGCUUACUCGUAAGAGUAAGCUGUUUUUUUGUUUAAAACACAGAGAGAGUAAGGGCUGGGUAAGACGGGUGCCAGCCGCCGCGGUAAUACCUGCAGCUCAAGUGGUGGCCGCUAUUAUUGGGCCUAAAACGUCCGUAGCCGGUUUGGUAAAUGCCUGGGUAAAUCGUGUAGCUUAACUAUACGAAUUCUGGGUAGACUGCCAAACUUGAGACCGGGAGAGGCUAGAGGUACUCCUGGGGUAGAGGUGAAAUUCUGUAAUCCCAGGGGGACCACCAGUGGCGAAGGCGUCUAGCUAGAACGGGUCUGACGGUGAGGGACGAAGCCCUGGGGCACAAACCGGAUUAGAUACCCGGGUAGUCCAGGGUGUAAACGCUGCUUGCUUGAUGUUAGUUGGGCUCCGAGCCCAACUAGUGUCGGAGAGAAGUUGUUAAGCAAGCUGCCUGGGAAGUACGGCCGCAAGGCUGAAACUUAAAGGAAUUGGCGGGGGAGCAC